UGGGGAAUUUUGGACAAUGGGGGAAACCCUGAUCCAGCCAUCCCGCGUGUGCGAUGAAGGCCUUCGGGUUGUAAAGCACUUUUGGCAGGAAAGAAACGUCAUGGGUUAAUACCCCGUGAAACUGACGGUACCUGCAGAAUAAGCACCGGCUAACUACGUGCCAGCAGCCGCGGUAAUACGUAGGGUGCAAGCGUUAAUCGGAAUUACUGGGCGUAAAGCGUGCGCAGGCGGUUCGGAAAGAAAGAUGUGAAAUCCCAGAGCUCAACUUUGGAACUGCAUUUUUAACUACCGGGCUAGAGUGUGUCAGAGGGAGGUGGAAUUCCGCGUGUGGCAGUGAAAUGCGUAGAUAUGCGGAGGAACACCGAUGGCGAAGGCAGCCUCCUGGGAUAACACUGACGCUCAUGCAUGAAAGCGUGGGGAGCAAACAGG
rnacentral:rRNA from 1 species